UUUCUUCUUUUCUUUCUUUUUAGAGGCAGAGUGCUCUGUCCUCCUGGGUAGGACUACAGAGAUGGAGUCUCACUGUGUUGCCCAGGCUGGUCUCAAAUUCUGGCCUCCUACCUUGGCCUCCCAAAGUGCUGGGAUUACAGUGAUUGCGGAGUUUACGUUGAAUGAAUGGAUUUGAGACUUUCUUCCAUCCUAGGCCCCUCAAGGCUACCCAAACAGAUAUCUUCCAUGGUAGGUGUUCUGGAAUCACCUUGUUGAUCUCAAGUUCUGUCUUAUCCCUAAUCAGAGUUCUUGCAGAAACAUGCCUCUCUGUGAUGAGGGGCAGCACACAGGAGCAGUCUGAGACCUGAUGUUUACUUUCUCCCUGGGCCUGUAGACUGGCAGGGUUUCCUGUGUCCCCACACAGUGAACACUGUCUCAGGCACAAGGCUUACCCCUCCCAAUAUAUGGGUCAAGUCAGGGCCUCUUGUCUGCUGUCCUUAUCCUUCUGCCCAGAGCACCAUGGAUGCGUGCAGCCCACUCUGCCAUACGCAAAACAUUGGCUCACCAUGCUGUUUGUGUUGUGGGCUGUGGAGACAGGGACCUGGCUGCCUGGAAGCACCGCUCAUGGCCCUAUGCAGAGUUCCUUGUGGUGUACAGAAGACCUUUGGUGUGACUUGGAGAGAAGAGCUCUAGGGAAAUCAGCACCUUGGGCACCUCGAGGUCAGGAUUUCUGAGCCCCAGCACUGCUGACGUUCGGGGAGGAGCCUUUCUCUGCUGUGGAACCGUGUGCCCAGACUGGCCUGUCCCUGUUAGACGCCAGAAGCUUCCUUCUGGUUGUGACCACCAAGAAUGUUUCCAAGCAUUGCCAGUGUCUCUUGGGGCACCGUCAUCCCUGAUUGAGAACCACUGAUCUGGGCCAUUACUGGAGAUUCGAUCCUAAAGAUUGGAGAGAAGCAAGCACAUGGGUGUAGUAGGUGUGGGGGACAUCAUCUGCUGAGCCCACUCACACGGGUCCAGGUCUCCCUGCAGCUCCUGCCGCCAGCUCUCUACUGCUGGUCCAGAGAGGCCUCACAAACAUAUUACUAAGUCGCUGUGGAUGACAGCCCCAGAAACAAAGGAUCUAGACUUCCGAAAGCACUCAAGAGAAAGAAGGGACAGUCAUUGUUUGUUCCUUAAUUCAUAUUUUUAUGGUAGAUGUCUUGGCUCCUUAAGGAAAUGUAGAUAUUAGAAAAAGAACAAAAUUAAUUCAACAAAUACUAUACUUGAAGCCAGCCCCUGUUGUUGGUGCUGUGAGGAGAGAAAUGAACUUUUCUAUGGAGACAAACAUCUCCGCCCUCGCGUGGCUGUGCUCUGGCAGUGAUGUGUGUGGUGUCCGCUGCUCUGUCUGAAGCUACUGUCACAUUCCUCAGCUCUUGUCCCAGGCUCGUUUAGAGGCCUGUGUUUCUUUUUGAUCUCCUUUCCUCAGCUUUGCACCCUAGGUUCUCAAAGAGCAGGGGACACACUAGGCAAGCACAGUCCUGUGCCGGGAACAGCACCCUGGGAAGCCAUGUGGGUGCUCUUUGGGUCACGGAGGCAUUUACACUGUCAGAAUGAUGAGAGACCCAGGCAAGGCCCUGGGCACUAUGCUUCUGCUUGUGAUGUUGGAACUUGGUGCUUGUGUUUGGGCUUGAAUUUAAGGCUGAGCGUGUGAUCUUUUCUGUGUCCUCCUGAAGUGUGUCAUACGGUGGGGGGGGCGGGAUUUUCUUUUCUUUUCUUUUUUUUUUUUGAGACAGAGUCUCACUAUGUCACCCUCGGUAGAGUGCUGUGGUGUCACAGCUCACCGCAACCUCCAGCUCUUGGGCUUAGGUGAUUCUCUUGCCUCAGCCUCUCAAGUAGCUGGGACUGCAGGUGCCCACCACAACGCCCGGCUAUUUUUUUCAUUGCAGUUUGGCCGGGGCCGGGUUUGAACCUGCCACUCUCAGUAUAUGGGGCCGGCGCCCUACUCACUGAGCCACAGGUGCCGCCCUAGCAGGGGGGGUUUCAAAAUGCGGGUGGAGGAAAUAAUCGUGGACCAAUGUUGGGGACGCGUUGGCUAAGUGCCAGCAUCUCCCCUUUGAGCAGCUGAAGGGCGUCGCCCCUGGUGGCUGCUUUUGCUCGAGGCUUGAGAGAAGGACAGGAAGAACUGCAAGUGGAGACGUUCGGUACAGGCUUCAGGGGAUUCCCGCAGCAAAAGGCAGAGCGGUGUGAUUUAGAUGGCAGAACUCAGUUUUUAACAAGGGAGUGCCAAGGAUGGGAAGUGCCCCUUAACUGCUGGAUCCCUUCCUCUGACUCUGGGGCUCACGGGGUCCAAGGACUACCUGGUCAGCUGCUGCUGGACAGAGGGGAGCCAGCACCACUCCAGGCCUGGGGAUGGAGAGGGGCACCCAUGAAGAAGCUCCAUGGAGCUUCCCUACUUACGUGUUUUAUGUCAUAUUAUUAUGAAAUUUUAUUUUAUUUUUGAGACAGAGUCUCACUUUCUCACCCUGUGUAGAAUACCAUGGUGUCAUAGCUCACAGCAACCUCAAAGUCUUGGGCUUAAGCCAUCCUCUGGCCUCAGCCUCCCAAGUAGCUGGGACUACAGGUGCCCGCCACAACGCCCGGCUAUUUUUUCUAAUUUAGGUAGAGACUGGGUCUCACUGAAGCAAUCUGCCUGCCUCAGCCUUUCAGAGUGAUAGGAUUAGAGUCAUGAGCCACCUUACCUGGCCUAAUUUUUGAUGUAUUUGUGGGGCACGUGUAUAAUAAUAUAAGGAGCAGCCCCUGUGACCCUCCCACAGAGGCCUGGGGCAGCUGUGGAGCUGCUUUGCUCAGAUCCCCUUUUAAGAAAGGGCGUGUUGAGCAGCAAGGAGUAGAGUUGUGUGACAGCCUCCUGCUGGUAGAUGCGCCUCACA